rnacentral:rRNA from 1 species
GGGUUGUGAGGUUAAGCGAAUAAGCGUACACGGUGGAUGCCUAGGCAAUCAGAGGCGAUGAAGGACGUGCUAAUCUGCGAAAAGCGUCGGUAAGGUGAUAUGAACCGUUAUACCCGACGAUAUCCGAAUGGGGAAACCCAGUAUCCAAUGGAUACUAUCAUUAACUGAAUCCAUAGGUUAAUGAGGCGAACCGGGAGAACUGAAACAUCUCAGUACCCCGAGGAAAAGAAAUCAACCGAGAUUCCCCUAGUAGCGGCGAGCGAACGGGGAGCAGCCCAGAGUCUUAAUCAAUAGCAGUGUCAGGAGAACGGUCUGGAAAGUCCGGCAGUAAAGGGUGAUAGCCCCGUAUCUGAAGAUGCUGUUAUUGUGAACUCGACGAGUAGGGCGGGACACGUGUUAUCCUGUCUGAAUAUGGGGGGACCAUCCUCCAAGGCUAAAUACUCCUGAUUGACCGAUAGUGAACCAGUACCGUGAGGGAAAGGCGAAAAGAACCCCGGCGAGGGGAGUGAAAAAGAACCUGAAACCGUGUACGUACAAGCAGUAGGAGCCUCUUUAUGGGGUGACUGCGUACCUUUUGUAUAAUGGGUCAGCGACUUAUAUUCUGUAGCGAGGUUAACCGUAUAGGGGAGCCGUAGGGAAACCGAGUCUUAACUGGGCGAAUGAGUUGCAGGGUAUAGACCCGAAACCCGGUGAUCUAUCCAUGGGCAGGUUGAAGGUUGGGUAACACUAACUGGAGGACCGAACCGACUAAUGUUGAAAAAUUAGCGGAUGACUUGUGGAUGGGGGUGAAAGGCCAAUCAAACCGGGAGAUAGCUGGUUCUCCCCGAAAGCUAUUUAGGUAGCGCCUCGUGAAUUCAUCUUCGGGGGUAGAGCACUGUUUCGACUAGGGGGUCAUCCCGACUUACCAACUCGAUGCAAACUGCGAAUACCGAAGAAUGUUAUCACGGGAGACACACGGCGGGUGCUAACGUCCGUCGUGAAGAGGGAAACAACCCAGACCGCCAGCUAAGGUCCCAAAGUCAUGGUUAAGUGGGAAACGAAGUGGGAAGGCUCAGACAGCCAGGAUGUUGGCUUAGAAGCAGCCAUCAUUUAAAGAAAGCGUAAUAGCUCACUGGUCGAGUCGGCCCGCGCGGAAGAUGUAACGGGGCUAAACCAUGCACCGAAGCUGCGGCAGCGACACGUAGUGUUGUUGGGUAGGGGAGCGUUCUGUAAGCCUGCGAAGGUGUACUGUGAGGUAUGCUGGAGGUAUCAGAAGUGCGAAUGCUGACAUAAGUAACGAUAAUGCGGGUGAAAAACCCGCACGCCGGAAGACCAAGGGUUCCUGUCCAACGUUAAUCGGGGCAGGGUGAGUCGACCCCUAAGGCGAGGCUGAAAAGCGUAGUCGAUGGGAAACGGGUUAAUAUUCCCGUACUGGUGGUAACUGCGAUGGGGGAACGGAGAAGGCUAGGUUGUCCGGGCGACGGUCGUCCCGGUUCAAGCAGGUAGGCAGAGUGAUUAGGCAAAUCCGGUCACUUAAUGCUGAGAUGUGAUGACGAACCACUAAGGUGGUGAAGCAAUUGAUGCCCCGCUUCCAGGAAAAGCCUCUAAGCUUCAGGUUACCAACAAUCGUACCCCAAACCGACACAGGUGGUCAGGUAGAGAAUACUCAGGCGCUUGAGAGAACUCGGGUGAAGGAACUAGGCAAAAUGGUGCCGUAACUUCGGGAGAAGGCACGCUGGCGGUAGGUAAAGUCCCUUGCGGACGGCGCUGAAGCCAGUCGAAGAUACCAGCUGGCUGCAACUGUUUAUUAAAAACACAGCACUGUGCAAACACGAAAGUGGACGUAUACGGUGUGACGCCUGCCCGGUGCUGGAAGGUUAAUUGAUGGGGUCAGCCGUAAGGCGAAGCUCCUGAUCGAAGCCCCAGUAAACGGCGGCCGUAACUAUAACGGUCCUAAGGUAGCGAAAUUCCUUGUCGGGUAAGUUCCGACCUGCACGAAUGGCGUAAUGAUGGCCAGGCUGUCUCCACCCGAGACUCAGUGAAAUUGAACUCGCUGUGAAGAUGCAGUGUACCCGCGGCAAGACGGAAAGACCCCGUGAACCUUUACUAUAGCUUGACACUGAACAUUGAGCCUUGAUGUGUAGGAUAGGUGGGAGGCUUUGAAGUGUGGACGCCAGUCUGCAUGGAGCCAACCUUGAAAUACCACCCUUUAACGUUUGAUGUUCUAACCUAGGCCCAUAAACUGGGUCGGGGACCGUGUCUGGUGGGUAGUUUGACUGGGGCGGUCUCCUCCUAAAGAGUAACGGAGGAGCACGAAGGUUGGCUAAGCAUGGUCGGACAUCAUGCGGUUAGUGCAAAGGCAUAAGCCAGCUUGACUGCGAGAGUGACGGCUCGAGCAGGUACGAAAGUAGGUCUUAGUGAUCCGGUGGUUCUGAAUGGAAGGGCCAUCGCUCAACGGAUAAAAGGUACUCCGGGGAUAACAGGCUGAUACCGCCCAAGAGUUCAUAUCGACGGCGGUGUUUGGCACCUCGAUGUCGGCUCAUCACAUCCUGGGGCUGAAGUAGGUCCCAAGGGUAUGGCUGUUCGCCAUUUAAAGUGGUACGCGAGCUGGGUUUAGAACGUCGUGAGACAGUUCGGUCCCUAUCUGCCGUGGGCGUUGGAAGAUUGAGAGGGGUUGCUCCUAGUACGAGAGGACCGGAGUGAACGCACCACUGGUGUUCGGGUUGUCAUGCCAAUGGCAUUGCCCGGUAGCUAAGUGCGGAAGAGAUAACCGCUGAAAGCAUCUAAGCGGGAAACUUGCCUCGAGAUGAGUCUUCCCUGUCGCUUUAAGCGACCUAAAGGAACGUUUAAGACUAAGACGUUGAUAGGCUGGGUGUGUAAGCGUAGCGAUACGUUGAGCUAACCAGUACUAAUGAACCGUGAGGCUUAACCUGACAACACCGAAAGUGUUUUG